CAUGGAGCCGGCCCUGGAGCCGCCCCGCGCGGCCGAGGGAACGCUGCCUGAGGCGGGGCGGCGUGAGGGCAGAGGCGAGCGGGCGCCUCCCGGGCCGCUGCUCUGGGGCUGCGCAGCCGCGAGCGGGAUGGCGGGUGUGCCUGUGGCUCCACUCCGUGGCUGUGGGCAGGUCGGUUUCGGCAGCUUCCCGCGCGCGCGGGCGUCGCCGCCACUGCCUCUGCGCCCCCAGCUGCCCUCCGUCCUCGAAGCCUCUGUGCGCGCCGGCUCCGGUGGGCGUCUCGCCCCGGUGACGCGCGGAGAGACCAGGUGAUGGGAUGCUGGAGCUCAGGCGGAUGGACUGAGGCAAGUUCUGGAGGAGAUGAAAGUUUUAUACGAGCAAAACCUACCUGAUGUAAGUUGGUUUUCAGCUCCCCCGCGCCGCCCCGGCUCCACACAUCUUCACCUGGCAACUGCAGCUCGGGCAGCGGCCCCGCCGCUAGGAGCCGCGGCACGGCGUCGCUUCGGUCCUCUCCAUUCGGCACCGGCCCG